CGGCCACCGAACAGAUGUUUCUUCCUCGGUCUGGUGGCCAUAGCACGAGCGAAACACCCGAUCCCAUUCCGAACUCGGCCGUUAAGCGCCGUUGCGCUGAUGGUACUGCGUCUCAAGACGUGGGAGAGUAAGUCACCGCCAGAC
rnacentral:rRNA from 1 species